GAGCAACAGAAGACUGACCGCCUCAAAAUUUGAUCAAAAUGAACCUGAGAUCAGGAAGAAACUGUGAAGAACGAACAUGGAAGCAAAAGCAGAACCAAAGAAAAUCAUCAUGGGAGGACACAGAGAUUCCUACAAGAGGAAUUUAGGCAAGGAAUGCUGGGCGAGAAGCUCUGUUCCCACUGACAGGCAGGCAGGGGAAAGGUAACAAACAGAUGCAGGUACUCGGCAGUGCAGAUGCCAAGUGAGACGCUGCUGGUGGCGAAACAGGCAGCGCAGACAAGUCAGACUUUUCUAGCAUCCAAACAAGUAAUGGAAACAAGUUCUGCUGCAUAAAUUCUGGUAUGAAUUAACAUUUCUCAUGCUUAAGAGGCUAGCAGGCUCCUUUCACAUCUACAUGGGAAAGAAGCAGAUUCACCCAACUAUCUUAGCAACUCUUCGUGAUACCGAAGGAAGAGCGGUGCUGUGCCAACAGAAGCCUUGGAAAAGGAAACAGCCUCCCAUUUGCACAGCCCUCCCAGGACGCCUGCGGCCCGCCCAGCUACAGCCACCCUGAGCCAGACCAUCUUCAGGAACUCGUAUGUCCGCAGCACAGCUACUGCCACAACCUGCACACCUGCCUCUGUCAUAUCUGCCCAUCUAGCAACAGACUGCUGAUGUACAUUGGCACCACGCUGCCUGCUUACUGCUCUCAGAGAACUGAAUGCCAUCUAAAAGUCCUUCACCCUGCAAGCUCAUCACAGCCAGGCUCUGCAGGACAGCUAGAUCCAAUAAACUGGGAGCAAGCCUGAAUUAUGGAGACAACACAGAGGCCUGCAGUAAGUUCCCGAGAUUCCUUCGUACAGGAACGCCCAGCGGGUGUCUUCAAAAAGGUGUCACAGAAGGUGCCAGAACGCCCAAGAGAGAAAACAGAUGGGGACGAUCAUCCCCAUCCGACGAACAUCGGCAUUUCUGGGUCUGAUUUUGUUAGAAGUGCAUCAGCACAAUAAAUCCACAUGCUAUAAAUGGUGGUUGCUUUCAACCACCAGUCAUUUAGAGAACAUCGUUCCUACUGGCAGCAAAACAAGGUUAGCAUAUCCUCUUAAAUGGAGAUCAAAGACCCGAUUCCUUAAACAAAAGCUGGUGAUUUUUAAAGACCUGAGUGAUUCCUUUAAUUAAGCACGACAACCCGGCGUUCCCUCGUGGGUGAGCAGAGAUCUGCAGAGCUAAUCUCUCCCAGCCCCUGAAAGUCACCUGUUAAGUAGCCAGAGGAUACAUCAGAGCCGAGGCUGGAGACAAGAACCAGAGGCAGCACCGCACGGCUGCAGCGGACUAGCAUCAGAAUUGCUUUUCAAAACACAAGUUUGCUUACAGAACGAAGUGUCCUACGAGCCCCUUUGGGUCAGACCCGGUGCAGACUCCGCACCGUGACGAGGCUCAGAAGCACGCUAUUCACCAAGCAUGGAGAAUCAAAGCAGCAACCACAGCACGCAACCCCCCAGACAAAGCCGUAUAGCAACGAAUCGGUCACAUCGUGUGCUCCGGCAGCCCCCGCGGCUCUCGGGCGAGGCGGGGAGCGGCGCCCCACGAGCGCGCUGCAGGGGCCGCUCCAGCCCGGCGCAGCCUCCGCUCUCCACUCAUCCCUCGAUUCGGAGCCAGCCAGCUCGCUAACUUUCCCGACUCACCACCCCAUGGACCAGAAACUCAAAAAGUUUGCUUUUCGUAGCUUUGCGAGCCCCUCCUGUAACUUCGUCUGUAGCCAUCGGGGUCUGCUCAGCCUCUCUCACUCUCUCUCUUCCUCUUUCUUUCCCUUUUCUGCCUUUUUCUCCAACUCUCCCCUCUGAGUCCUGCUGGGCUCUCACACUUCUAAUAGCGCGGAGUGGGGAGGGGGCCCCUUCAGGGCCUUCCUGACGGCCCACUCGCGCUCGGCCUCAGCUGCUGCAUUCCUCCACUGAUAAGCCAGAAAUAGUUUGCGCUGCCGGGCUGUGCGUGUUUACUCUGCGGGGACAGAAAAUCCCGCUUUUUAAACCUCUCUGUCCAAACACCCGAGAUAAGCGGGAGGCAAAUCGAAAACACGUCCCGGCCCCUCGCGGCAGAGCUGCAGCCGCUCCUCCUGGGCGCAGGGGAUGGUAAAUUCUGGGGCAAGGGGGAGGGGGCGGCCUCGGCAGCGGCACCAGCCCGGCUCCCGGGGAGUUUUCCCAUCAGAACAUGCAGCGGGCGGGCGGUGAGAAACAAUGGCUCCCCCCGUUCGCAGCGCUCCGCCCGCGCCGCGCUCCAGGCCCCGUCCCCGGGGACCGCCGGCAGCGCGCAAACGUUCGCUGGCGGCGGUUCCAGCGCGAGGCUGAGAACGGUCCCUCCGGCGAUAGAGGCUGCGGGAGGCGGAGGGCCAGGAGCGGGAAGGGAGAGCGCGGGGGCGAAGGGAUGGCGGGCGUGCGAGGAGCGGGGGCGGCGGGCAGCAUGGCGGCGGCGGCCCCGCCCGAGGCGAUCUGGCCCCACUCUGACGGAUCCGUUAGCGGCACGCGUGAUUGACGGCCGCAGUCCCUGCGAUCACCGCAGCUGCGGUCAGGCAGCCGCAGCUCCUCGCUCAGAGCCCCGCGCAGCACCCCGAGACCCCGCGGGCCCGUCCGGGGGGGAAGGGGCCUCUCCGGCGCUCCAGAUCUCGGCGGCCCCUCCGUGAUGGAGGGCGGCAGUAACCUCUCCGCGAUGCGGAGUGGCAGUGCCACCUCCCGUGACGGCACAGCAGCGUGGCCAGGGGGGCUCUGCUCGCCACGGUGUGCGCGGCUGGCGGGGGCUGUUGUCUGCCGUCUGCCUGAUACAGUGAUAGCGAUGCCGCCAAGCUACGGGAGGGGUUUGUUCUGUUCCUCUCCUUGAGAUUCUUGUCUAUGGACUCUGUAUUUUCUGGCAAAGCUGCAAACAGAAGGGAAUCAGAACUGAACUGAAUAAAAUCGCUGCCCUCACCCAGUGGUUAAAAACAAGCACGGGAAAGACACUGAAUCGGCCAGCAGUGAAGAACGGACCGUGGAGAUCACACGGCAUGGUGCGCGCAGGGACUCGGGAACAGCCGCUGCUGAUGUUCAAGGUGACCCCAACCCAGGCAGCGCCGUGCAGGAUGCCACAGGAAUUGCAGCGCUUGGGCGUGUGGGUGCUGCUAUCGACGCCCUCCCCCUUCCGCUCGGUCAGACACACCCAGCGCAGCAGCACAGCCUCGUUCGGGGCAUGGACCAAACUGCUGCUGCGGCUGCGGCCAACCCGAGCCGGCUGCACGUGCGGUCUGGAACCGAGCUGCUGUGUGUCAGCAUGGCGGCGCUGCCCCGUGCAGCGAGGCUCAGGUCCCAGAAGCACGCGGUGACAUCGGCUCCCAUCUUGCGAUCCCUUUUGUGCCCCCAGCAGACGACGUGUCUUCUCUCUGCAGACUGCGCUGCGCAGGGCGCACCGCUUCCCCCGCAGCAGCGCUGCUGACACAAAGCCGCAUCCGCCGCUAUUCCCACUGCUAAAGGGAGCCGCGUCCCCGCCCUCGUUCUACCGAACGGCACCGAACGCGGUGCUCGAGCACAGCGCGGCUCCCUGGGGAAGGCUCUGGGCAAACAGCUUCGGAGCCGCUGCGCCGACCGCAAAGGGCACAGUGGUCACCGGACGGGGCCCGCCGCCGCCCUCGGCCCCGGAGCCCGCGGCCUCCUCAGAUCGGGCCCGGCACUCAGGGCGCGGCUCUGGUGCGGCGCGGCGCGCGGUCCCCCCUCGAGUCCCCCCGCGCUCCUCCGCCAGCACCGUCGGCACCGAAUGGCCACGGCGCGCCCGGCACGGGCAGGGCGUGCGCCAGCCGCGAGCCCGGAUGGGCGGCGGGCCGGGUUCGGGCCGAGCCCCCCCCCCCCCAGGUCCGCGCCGAACCCAAGCGGGCCGCGGCCGGGCAGAUCGCGGCUCCUGGGAGCCCCAGCCGACGGUGCGCAUGCCCGACGCGGCUCCGUGAAGGUCAGCCGCGGCCUCGCGGGGACGCGCGGGCGGGGGCGGCCGGGCCGCGGUAGGGAACGGCCUUAACCCUUUCCGCGCCGCGUCCGCGUCGAGCGGCGCCCCGGGAUGCGACCGCCGUGCGGGGAGAGCUGAGGAGCCGCGGGGCGGCGUGGUUGGGGCACGCGCCCAUCGGAGCCGUCGCGAUGACGGCCGCAGCGCCCCGCGGUCUGUUUCCAUCACCGCCGGCGCUGUACGAUGGGUGGCGGGGAGGCUGCUGCACCACGGCAGGCUUCAGGGUGGGGUUUUGUUCGUGUUUUUGACCCGCUGCAGAUUAAGCGACGCGAGCAGCUGCUCCUGGCUCGGCCUGCAGCCGGCUACAUCCUGCAGCACCAGGACGGGGCGGGAAGCGUUACUGGAUUGCAAGUGAAUGCAACAGAAUGGAAAAGAAAAAGGGAAGGAAAAGAAUAAAUUCCCAGUAGCCUGGUAGUUGAGAAUGGGCAGCCUGGGGAGUGAGAAGUGCUGCGGGAGCAGUGGGCCCCUGCUCCGAUGUGGAGAAGCAGAACAGCUGGAGACUGCUCAGAGAGGCAAUGGAUGGAGUCUCCUAUAGUGGGGAAAGCUUGAAACAUGGAACCUUUGGCAGCAGAAGGGCUCCUUCUCCCUUACAUCUGAAAUUACAGAACCAGUGCUAACCGUAACAGUCAAGAGGAACAAGCUCCAGGCUCUAAGGAAGAUCUUAGGGCCCCCUGGGCUGAUGGUGCAUUAACACCCUGAGAAAGGGCACGUUGGACACCCAUCUGCAGUUACGCAGGCAAUACCUGCUUGUGGGAUACGCUGUCACCAGAGGUUGGCUGCUAACAGACCCUGAUCCAGAAUGUUUCAGGGAGAGCACUAAGGCUUGUCCAGGCCUUGAACCCACCCUGCCCUCAUCCACAAACAGCAACGCUGGCUCAGGAGCCCAACAAAUUGAGAACAUUCAGGGGGCGGGGGUGAAGGACAAGGGACCUCAGGUCAUCUUCCUGACCUUACAGGUACAGAGGAAGGGUUGGGUAGAAGCAGAUUUAUCCUGCAUGCUAACUGCUAUGUGCUGCGUGUAUCAGAUCAGGAGUUUGUGCCUUCAAAUAAACCACCACGGCCAUUUUCCUCACUGAGGUUCUUCAAGACAAGGACAAAACCCCUCUAUCUCUCUUGGGUAAACUAAAUAUAGUGAGUCCUUGUGGCCACCCACUAUAACACAGUUUUAACUACACCUUCAAUCUCUUUACACGUCUCUUCUGAACACUUUUUCAUACUCCAGAGGGCUUCUUGAAGUAUAGCUAUCUGAAAUGGAACCUGUGUUACAUUAAAACGUAGUCAUUUCCCAAGAAUGGCAUCCUUCUUGGGCCCUGUUUUCAUUCCUUUAUUACCACAAUCCUAAAGGCCAUUUGCACCUGUACAAAUUUGUCCUUGUUUAUUUCUCACUAUAUGAUCCUUGCAUGUUUCUCCGCUAAAAAUUAUCAAAAUUAUCGGAACCCAAUGUAUAAAUCAACUAUAUAAAGAGUCCAAAUUGGCUGGUAAAAUGUAACCCUACCCAAUAUUCAUCACUGCACUAAUUCUAUCAUCUUACGUGUCCUUCCACGUAUUUCCAGCUGCAUCCAAGGACUCGGAUUACUCUGUAACCUCAGUGCCAGCACAGCCCUGCUGCUGAUCUGUAAGCAGCAGGGUGUAAGCAAGUGUGUGAACCAGCCAAGAAAUAGAUACCACCCACCUGUGCACUGCAGCCCCAUGAGGUCUUCAGGGAGUGCACAGAACAGCAGCUUUCCCCAAAGGGAGCUCUGAGCCCCAGAAGAAGUACCUGAGCCUAUGAUACCUAAAAAAUCUUAUCACUGUCGCUGGCUUUACACAGAAAGAGAGUAAACAGAAGUGGGUGGUAAAGUAAGUGAAAGCUGUAACAAAAAUCUGUACAGUGUGUUAUCACAAGGUGGUACUUGGAGGUAAUACUGGAAUGAAAUGUGACAUAUGGGGCACAACUAUCUGAACCUCACCUGAUUUGGACUGAAAACAAAAACAAACAAAAAACAACCCACAAACAAAAAGGAAGCAGGAACCACAAAUAGCUUGCUAGGAAGACAAGAGCUGGUGCCAAACUGACAGUGCCUCAUUUAUGUUCUUACAACAAGUCCUGGAUUUUCAAUUAUCUUUCACUAUUGCUUCCUUGCUGGGCACCCAAGUGUCUCUGCUUUCAAAAUGGAGACAGUAUUAUCUACCGUCCCUACAAAGAGGAAAAAAAAAAAAAAACCUGAAGGAAUGGGCAUCUCUAUUCCUGGCCAACAGAGCUGCAUUUAUCAAAAUGAACACACAGCAUUAUAGGAGCCUUAACUCAUACCAAGUCUGUGUGACAUGAUAACAAGUGUCUAGUUAAUAGUCUGGCCUUCCUAUUAAGUUCAAAGUGAAGGAAAUCUUUGUGGGGCAGCAGAUAACGAGAGAUGAUGGUAAGGAAAUGCCUUUUAAAGAAAAGGAUGCACCCACCCCAGAAUUCGAACAGUUCUGUUGGAAGUGACCUACAGAGACCACCCAGUCCUGAGCGCUUCAGGGCUAACCAAAAGCUACAGCACGUCACUGAAGGCAUUAUCCAUCUGCCUCCUGAACACUGACAGGCACGGGGCAUUGACCAUCUCACCGGGAAGCCUGCUCCAGUGCCUGACCACCCUUUCAGCACAGAGAUUUUCCUAAUGUCCUGUCUGGGGCAGCUCUGUGCCAUUCCUGCACAUCCUGCCAGUGCUUCCAGGAGCAGAGCACAAAGCUGCACACAGUACUCAAGAUGUGGCUGCAUCUGCAUCAAACCCAGCAGGACAACCACCUCUGGUGACAGAAGGCUGUGCUGAGUUCAAUGCAAACCAAAAUGCAGUUGGCCCUCCUGGUGGCCAGGGCACGCUGCUGGACCACAGUGAGGCUGAUGGCAACACAGCCUUCUGAAUGCUGCCUGCUCCUCCCAGCUUAGGAUAUACAUAGAUAUAAAUAUCAGACAGUGGUACAUGUGCAUAUGCUCUUUCAUUGACCUGAAGUAACGUGACUUUCAUGCACACAUAUAUCCUAAAAAUAUGAGCAAUCAUCACGAAAAUAUGCACAGUACUUUUCUUUAAAGAGCAAAGUGCUCCAAACUGAAAAUACUACAUAGUAAGUAUUGAUGGCACUUCCAAGUCACUUACGUUUAAGAAGAAAAAUGAGAGUGAUGCAGGGGAGCUCAGUUAUCAGUCAUCAGUUAGGAGCACUUACUGGAAAUUAAAAAAAAAAAAGAAAAACACAAAACCACAACAAACAAUAACAAAAUCAUAAAAGAUUCUUCUUU